rnacentral:tRNA from 1 species
GGGGAUGUCGUUCAAUUGGUAGGACAGCGGUCUCCAAAACCGCCGAUUCAGGUUCAAGUCCUGGCAUCCCCG